CCGCCGCAGCCUGGCCCGGCCCUCCCCGACUGCGCGAGCGCGACACCGGGGGCCUUUUACGACAGUUCGGAAAGCGAGCGCGCCGGACCUUCACGCCCUCUCACGUCGGUUAGUACAGCUCAUGGUCUCCAAUGUGGGAGAGUGUUGAACUGGGAAAUGGUGCCAUCUACUGAAGCAGCGUUCCGGAAGCAUCCUAACAACCAGUUCAUUUUGAAGAAUGUGAGUCAAAGACAGAAGACUGUCCACAUGUGUUUAUCAUACCCAACGUCACCCUGACGAAGGAAUUAAAAAGGUACCAACCUAACACAAGAAAAUGGGACCAGGCCAUUAGCCAUGUGGUCCUCUCCAAUGUCUGGAAGGGCAGUCAGAGAACUGGUGAGUCCUGUGGCACAGUGGAGAGGCAACAGCACAGCACAGACUCCUGCCAGAGAGGGCUGGGAGCUAUAUGCCUUGCUGGAUCUGAGAGGACAGGGACUCGGGCCAAGAGCAAGACCACAGCCCAAAGCACAAGACAGGAAUGGUAGCGGAAGAGAGCAACUGUGAGUCUUUCCGUGGCAAGGCCAGACCUCUCCACUUGUCUCUUGACCACACGUGAAGAAUAGGGCACCUGGGCCUUUAAAUAAGGGGCAGGGAGUUGAGCAGAGAAACGGGUGGAGAACCAGAGCAGCUGGUAUGACAAGCUGUGACAAAUACUUCACAUUCUAAUGGUCAGGGGCCCCACCUGCCUAGCAGCAGGUGGCAUCCAUCUAUGCAGACUUCAGGUGUGGUUUUUAAACUACAACAUUUGUAAAUAUUUAUUGACCACUAAGA